rnacentral:rRNA from 1 species
CCUACGGGUGGCAGCAGUGGGGAAUAUUGGGCAAUGGGCGCAAGCCUGACCCAGCAACGCCGCGUGAAGGAAGAAGGCUCUCGGGUUGUAAACUUCUUUUUUCAGGGACGUAGCAAGUGACGGUACCUGAGGAAUAAGCCACGGCUAACUACGUGCCAGCAGCCGCGGUAAUACGUAGGUGGCAAGCGUUAUCCGGAUUUACUGGGUGUAAAGGGCGUGUAGGCGGGAAAGCAAGUCAGAUGUGAAAACCAUGGGCUCAACCUGUGGCCUGCAUUUGAAACUGUUUUUCUUGAGUACUGGGGAGGCAGACGGAAUUCCUAGUGUAGCGGUGAAAUGCGUAGAUAUUAGGAAGAACACCAGUGGCGAAGGCAGUCUGCUGGACAGCAACUGACGCUGAGGCGCGAAAGCGUGGGGAGCAAACAGGAUUAGAUACCCGGGUAGUC